rnacentral:rRNA from 1 species
AAUAGAUACCCGGGUAGUCCACGCCGUAAACGAUGAGUGCUAAGUGUUAGGGGGUUUCCGCCCCUUAGUGCUGCAGCUAACGCAUUAAGCACUCCGCCUGGGGAGUACGGUCGCAGGACUGAAACUCAAAGGAAUUGACGGGGGCCCGCACAAGCGGUGGAGCAUGUGGUUUAAUUCGAAGCAACGCGAAGAACCUUACCAGGUCUUGACAUCCCACUGACCGCUAUGGAGACAUAGUUUUCCCUUCGGGGACAGUGGUGACAGGUGGUGCAUGGUUGUCGUCAGCUCGUGUCGUGAGAUGUUGGGUUAAGUCCCGCAACGAGCGCAACCCUUGAUCUUAGUUGCCAUCAUUUAGUUGGGCACUCUAAGGUGACUGCCGGUGACAAACCGGAGGAAGGUGGGGAUGACGUCAAAUCAUCAUGCCCCUUAUGACCUGGGCUACACACGUGCUACAAUGGACGGUACAAACGGUUGCCAACCCGUGAGGGGGAGCUAAUCCGAUAAAACCGUUCUCAGUUCGGAUUGUAGGCUGCAACUCGCCUACAU